ACCAAAGCGAAUCUUGAUCGAAGGAGAAUUAGAGAGAGUACGAAGAAGAAUCGAUUUUAUAGUGGGCUCCCGCGUUGCUGUUGCUACAUAUCAAGAAUCUGACCCAAAAGUCAGGUGCAUCCUCGAAUUUCCGACCAAUUCGUGUUAGAAGUGAAUCGGAGAAGAGAACGGUGAGCACCGGAGGAAAUGGCGGAGCGACGGCAACGAACAAGCAGGUCAUAUUGAGAGACUACGUGACCAGUUUCCAUUGGAAUCCGAGAUCUUAGUCGAGCUCUGAUGUCUUGCUCCGUUUUCAACAUCCCAACAUUUUCAAACUUCUCGGCUAUUUCGACGAUUCAGGUAAUUGCUGCAUUAGCUUACAUGGUCUAUUUCAUAGAUAGCUACCAGCAAUUAUGGCUUCGUCAUAUUUGGGGUUUUGACAGUGAGAUCACGUUUUAUUACAUCUAUGAUUGAUAUCUUGAUGUUCUAAAUUCUACAAAAUUCUGAGUGUGACUGAGUGAAGACAAUGCUGAGUGUGGCUGCGGUUUGUAUUAGUAAACCACCAUCUCAAAGACCUUCGGCAUCUCAAGUGGUGGAGACUCUUGUACAGAGAAUCCCGUCUUUGAAUUUCCUCGGUUGUGGUAAAUUGUAAAGGAGUCUGAGUUUAAAAGCAUCAAACGAUUUUAUGUAGUUGAGAGUUUGUGCUUGAAACACAGUUCUUGAAAAACCAGCAAGAAGAAGAAAUUUUGUAAAUACCCUGUUUUGUUAUGUGAAUAGCAUCAGCAAAUAACAUUUUUUUUUUGUAAUUAGCAUUUUAGUUUCAAUCCUUUGUUUGAUUAUUUUGUCUGAAAAUAUUCUUAGAGAGAAAGUAGUUAUCUUGACAUUUAUGUCAAUGUAAUGUAAAGUUGAAGCUUAAAGUA